ACCUCUCAGGGGCAGACAGCGGCUGAUCAGGGCCAGCCAGGGAGCACCUGCAGACUGCGCAGCUGCUUCCCAGAAGCCAUGCUGUGGACCUAUCCCCUCCUCCACCUCGCCAUCUUCUGUGCCGAGGUCUCACUGGAUAUCGUUUUGGAACCAGACACCAAAACCCUGACUGUUCCAGUCGGGGAGCCUGCCACCUUGCGCUGCAGCUUAAGGGGAGGGGACUUGAAGAACUAUCAGGUGAGCUGGUAUAAGAAGAAUGAAGAUAACUCCCUGACUUUAGUAUACAGACGAAGGACCAUCUAUGACCCUGGUUUUCAUGAAAGGUUCUAAAAUGAAAUUGAUGCUUCCAACGACCAGGCUCUACUUGAGAUCCUUGAAGUCUCAGGGAGAGAUGAAGGCUCUUCCUACUGCACCGGUGACCCCGCUGGAUGUGGUGGAGAAUAUGGAAACAAGCUCUUCUUUGGAAAAGGGACUCGCCUCACCGUGGAAGCACGAAGCCAGCCUCCUGCCAAACCAUUCGUUUUCACCAUGAAAAAUGGCUCCACUGUUGCUUGUCUGGUGAAAGAUUUCUACCCUAAGGAAAUAGACAUAAAACUUGAAGCACCCAAGACUAUAGUAGAAUUUGACCCUGCUAUCGUCGUCUCUCCCAGUGGGAAGUACAGUGCUGUCAAGCUGGGUCGGUAUGAGGAUUCCAAUUCAGUGACCUGUUCGGUUGAACACAACAAUGAAAUCGUGCGCUCCACUGACUUUGAACCAAAGAAGAGUCCUUCAGGUAACGUAAAACCAACAGAACCUGGAAGCAUGGAGCAAACUUCAGAGAACCUCUAUGGGCGCAAAGUUCACCAGAGCUCACAGUUCACAGCCGGGAAGGUGAACAUGCUGUCCCUCACAGUGCUGGGGCUCCGAAUGGUGUUUGCCAAGAGUCUUGCCAUCAAUUUUCUCUUGACUGCCAAGUUAUUUUUCUUUUAAGGCUGACCGGCAUAAGAAGGCUCCAUUAUGAGACUCUCACGUUAUGUCUUCUCAAAAGCCUACAGGGUUGCUGUCUCCUAGGCUUCUGACUUCUUGGUGAUUCAAGUCGACCUCCUGCAGCCUUGUAUAAAUGGCUGCUACCAAACCAGGUUUCCUUCAGAGACAAAAAACCCAGCUCAUUUCCCAGCCGAGUGGAAAGACAAAAGUCCUGGGGAGUUAGGGAGGUUAUUAUUCUCCUAACAGCUCUAUAUGCUGCUUUCUAAAGAGAUAUAGGACUCAUUUUCUUUUUUAUUUUCUACAACUAAUAUGCUUUGGGAAAGGUGUUUUGUUCCUUUGACUUUCUUUGCCUUAGGAAGUAGAGAGUGGGAGCCAAGGAUUCCCAGCUCCAUGGUCUCCAAGGAAAAUAGACCCUGGAGGUCAGAAAGCAGAUGUCCUUUACAUAACAGGAAUGGCUCUGCCCAGCCCAGCACUAGAUUUGCCCCAAGCUGGCAUUCCCAGCCACAAAAGUCCUUUCUGCUUUUCCCAGUACUUUACAAACAAAAUCACAUUUGAAUUCCCAUGCAGCUGGUGGGGUUUCUAAAACAUCAUCCAAAUGCUCUCUGAGCUAUUAGCAAAGAUCAGAGUAAAAUACAGAGAAAAUGCACUUACUUCUAUUAACUGAUUUAACAAACAUGAAUUGACUCUCUCUACGUUCUGGGCACUGUGCCGAGGGUACAAAGAUAAGUAAGAUGUGGGCCUGCUUUCAAGCAGCGAAUUGUGCAAGUGUUUCUGGAGGGAGGGAAGAGGAACAAGACCCCUCGAUUUUGGCUGUAAAAAGAUUAUCUUUCGAGGGGUUUGCCUGCCAGUCUGUGCACAGGGAAUGUGAGGUCGGGGGAUGAUGAUUCUUGCCUGCCCCUUGUUGUUGAUGGUUUUCUGCCUUUCCCGGUGCUGUUCUCUGUUGCAUUUAUUAAAGUGCAUUGAGUGUG